rnacentral:rRNA from 1 species
UACGAAGGGGGCUAGCGUUGCUCGGAAUGACUGGGCGUAAAGAGCGCGCAGGCGGUCGUUCAAGUCGCGUGUGAAAGCCCCCGGCUCAACUGGGGAGGGUCACGCGAUACUGAUCGACUCGAAGGCAGGAGAGGGUAGUGGAAUUCCCGGUGUAGUGGUGAAAUGCGUAGAUAUCGGGAGGAACACCAGUGGCGAAGGCGACUACCUGGCCUGUUCUUGACGCUGAGGCGCGAAAGCUAGGGGAGCAAACGGG